CGGAAGAGAGUUCAAAGAGUUGGAGUCACAGCCUGAAUAAAAAUGCAAGUCUCUACAGAUCUUAAAGUGAACGACCAGCAGCAUCAAGCUGAAUAAUCUGAGACGCCAGGAUGAAGACUGGAGAGUAGUAAGUCCAGGGGUUUGGCCAGGGAGUGCGGCUGUGUGGUCCCUAAUUCUGGUCCAGGUUGCUGCCACAUUCUGCACAGUCUGAAGUCAAUCCACACAUGCCUAACUUAAACAAGUAUAAUACAAUGUUAUAUUAACUAACAUGUAUUGUUCCUCCAGGCUCCUUUCUUGGGCCACUUUUUAUCAAAAAUCUGUGUUAUGCUUGUUUUCAGAAAAGAAAACUAGAAAAUUAGAGACUCAAUGUGGUUAAGUAUACCAAUUUUUUGUAAAGAAUCUCUCAUACUGCUGAAGUGCAUCUAGAACUGCUGCUAGAAUCCUGACCAGCAGUAAGAGAAAGAAUCACAGCAGGGCUUAAAUCACUGCACUUCCUCACCUUGAAAUUGGAAAAAGUUCCCAAUCUUGUUAUAAAGCACUGAACACUUUUGGGGUUAAAACAUCUCAGAGUUUCUUCUCCGGUAUGAACCAUCAAAACCCCACAAGUCAUCGCAGACCUUUUGACUCAGUGCUCACUGAAACGUGAAUAAACAUUAGGAGUCAACUUUGAGUUUCUUUGCUCCUCAUUUAUUUUUCCAUCCUGUUUAGGGUCGUAAGCAGAUUACAGUGAUUUGGAAAGCAUUUUUUCCUGUGUAUUACACAGGUAUAACGCAAAAAAAAAAAAAAAACUGUUGAAUUUUGAGCCCUCAGCUCUGAGACAAACUUCCUGAAAACCUGAAGUGUGUAGAAGUUGUCAGGUCUUUUCAAGCCAGGACUGAAAGCAUCACUUUUUAUCGCAGGUUUCCCAUAAAAGUCAAAUUUGAUCAGUUAUUGUUUUAAAUUUUAUCUGCAUGUUUUCUAUGUGAUAAUAAAUUGUACUGUUUCUAAUGUAUUUUUCUUUACCUUUACUUAGAGCUUUGAGUUACCGUCUGUAUGAAUGCCACUACACAAGUAAACUUGCCUUGUCUUUGCAGCUUCCAACUCUCUCUUUUUUAAUGAAUAAAUUAAGAUCUUUUCAAACACUGGAGGUCACUUCUGUCUCUGAGCUCAGUUUUCUUUGUAUUCUCACCAGAAACACGCUCUGACUGCUGAAAGGAAGAAUUUUGACUGCAGAAAGUCUUCAAGAGAAUAGCUGCAUCCCAUCCUAAUAUAAAGCUCGGUGAACAGCAGGCUCUUACCGACUAUAAAUUUAAUCCUUUUUAAUCAGAAAUCACACGAACUCACAAGGCAGUGAUGACAUAAAACUGCAUCUGUUCAUAUGACUCGUCAGUAUCUGUUUUCUUUUUUCCUUUUCAGGGUGGCUGCCCUAUCCUGCUCCUUGCUGGUGGAACCCGGCUCAUCAGGUCGGACCAGCAUGAGCCUCAUUCUUCCUUAAACGAGACUCUUGUAAAAGCCAAGCCCAAAAACACUAUAUAAGCACUUCUUGCCUCUUCAGUUACUCAGUCUUAGAAGGGAUCACACCAAGGAACACUACGUCUACCAAGAAAAAGAGGUGCCUUCUUCAGGGGAAUCCGCAGCUUGAAGGACGAGCGUCGAGUGAAGAAGUGCAAAGUCAUUCUGAUCAAGUGGUUCUCAACAGUUCAACAGUUCUUUGAGAAAAUUGUGAAAUGUUUAGGACCACUUGAGCAGUCGGACAAAUGCUGCCAUCUCACACGAUUCUGGUCGGAUUCAAAGAAGGCCUGAAUCUGGACAUAUUUGGGAAUGACUGCAUCGUUUUUACCAUGUUUGUCAGCCUCCUCGAUGUCUCCCUGUCAUCUUUGCCUGACUGCGUCCCAGCAGCACCUGCAGCUCUGGAGCUGUGGGGGGCUGUAAAAAUGAUUAGGACUCAGUAAUUUCAUUCUGCUGGCACAUAUGCAACAUUUUAAUGGCUCUGUUGCUGCAUAGAGCUCACUUUUUCACUGCUUUUUUGUCCCUACUUUCCAGAGGUACUGAUUAAAACAAGUCAAUAAAGAA